rnacentral:misc_RNA from 1 species
AAUCAAUGCAGGCGGUCGGUACUGAUUAAUUCGCGGGUCCACGGUUCCGCAGAUGGCGCGGUGAUCGUGGUACACCGGUGUGGCCCGAUGACGAUCGUUAAAAAACGCCCGCGCGCAUUCAAAAGCGCAUAAUAAUCGGGAAAAAGAGAGCGAUCCGACGCCAUGGAAUAUCGCGGAGAAGCGUGUAUCAAUUUCGAGAGAUGAAAAGUCGAGCAGAGGCGGAAGGUCGGUGGAGUACAAAUUACCGUGGGGCAGCUGCCCUCCGUUUGCGAUUCUCGUCGACUCGCGUGUAUAUAACACGAGACGAUGCGCGCAUGCGCGUUCUCUGUGUACGUUCGCUUGCACAUCGAGGGGAGCUAGGGUUAAAGAGGGAAAACAAACUGACGCGAAAGGGAAAAAUAAAUGCGCGGAGAUGAGAAGAGCCCCCGAGAGAAAUAGACUCUUCGAUAAAGCUGCAGAAAACAGUCUAGGAAAAAUCGGACUAGAGAAAAACAUUGACCAAACAUUGUGGGACGAUGUGGAAAAUACGAAACCUGAAGAAAAAGGGCCAGAGUACUCUACAUAGGAGGAGGAGGAAACAGAUUGAAAGAGAAAAAGAUGAGAUGAGAAGGAACGAGAAUGUAAAAGAGAAGCCAGAGAGGGAAUCAGGGAGUGGUACAACAGCGAACCGUCAAGGAGGGGGGCAUGCGUGGGGUUAGAGAGGGAGAGGGAAAUAGAGGGAGCAUGAAAAACGAGAAAGAGCGAGAACAAGACAAAGUCGAGUGGAGCGGGGAGAGAAGGGGAGGAGAAGGAUAAACGGAGGGUGAAUGGGUGGGUGGAAGGGAGAAGAAACAUGCCAGAGGACGAUGAACUCUGGCGGUAGGCAGCUUCCGUCGCCUGGCAACGUUCUCCUCCCUUUUCCUCCUCCUCUCCCUGAGGCUCCAAGCCGUUAUGUCGUGGUAUCGUACGUAGGCAGUCCUCGUCAUGGACGUAGUAGUCGUGUCAUCGUCUUCGUCAGUGACGAUCAUGGUAGUCGUUGUUGUAUUUUCACGUAGUCGUGGCUCGCAGCUUGCGCUGCGUAUUGAUCGUACGGGAUGCUGCUGCUAGCUGCUGCUGGUUGCUGGCUGCUCCAGCACCGGCUAACAGUGAGCUUUAGCCACAGCCCUGCACCAAGGACCAAUAGGACCACCACUUUCUCUCUCUUUCUCUCUCUUGACUUUCUACUCAGCUUAUACCCACCCAUUAUGGUUGCCCAAAAAUGAAA